UUCGUUAACCACUGAACCACUACGGGAACUCCAAAAGAAAUUAGUUCUUAAUCUGUCACAUGUAUCUUCUCAUUGGUUGGUGGGGAAGUCAUUUACAGCGCAUUACAGUGCAAAUGGCUUAAAAUGUUCUAUAUGAUUUUUCUUAACUCUCUUCAUUUAUAAUUUCUCAGGGAGUUCCAUAAUGUUUACUCUAGGUCCAGCAUAUCUACCUCCGUCCUCUCAUAGUUGGUACAAGCAGGACAUAUAAUAUGUAAAGGUAAAAGGUGCUAGUUCUGGAAUUAAACUUUGUGUUUAAAUCUCAGCUAUGACUUUACUUUUUCUGUGUGAUCUUGGAAAAGGUGCUUAAUCUCCCUAUGCCUAGCUUCUGAAUCUAUAACAUAGAGCGCUAAAUAUCUCUCUUAGACAAUUACUGAAUUAAUGAUAUAUACAAGGCACUGGAGUCAGUGUCUGGCAUACAGUAUACCCUUACGAAGAAUUACCUAUUCUUACCAUUAUCAUUAUCAUCAAAUCAUCAUCACCCAUUGAACAAAUUUAUUUAUUUUGCUUACUGUUUUUCUCAUGGAAAUAUAAGCUACAUGAAGGUAAGGGUUUUGUCCAUUUUGUUCACGGCUGUAUCCAAAAACAGUGCCUCAUUAGUAAAUGUUCAUCAUUCAUAGAAAAAUGUAUGUACAUUAAUCACUGUCUAUCCUACUAACAUUUACAUUUUUAAGCACUAACUAUUUUGGGUAAUCUUAUUUUUUAAGUGACAGCAAUCAGAGCUUAAAAUUUUGAGCUGAAUAGAACCAUACUCAUACAUUUACUGUUCUAAUCUCUUGGCUUAGUGUGAUUAAGACAACUGUGGUCAGGAAAGUAUAUUCAAUUUUCUUCCACUUUUCAUCCCAUAUAGCGAAUACACAGAAUACAUCUCUCUUCUGCACUUUGAAAUAUAGCAUACAACUGAAUAUAAAAAAACUAGGAAAAAUGGUAAAGAGUCCAACUUACACUUUUAUGUUGUGAGAGGCCUGGUCCAUGUAUUUUUAUUCUGAUAAAUAUGUUUUUACAUACAGCCAAACUUAAAAAAAAGUAUUAUUAAUAGAAGAACCAUGAACGGGAAGAUUCUGAGUUACACUACAGAAUAAAAUUUCCACGGAAAUACCAAGUAGGUAUUAUCAGGUAGGUGGCCAGUUUAUUAGACAAACUGUUAAUGGUAUUAAUAACACCAUGGCAAUUAAGUAGGGGUGUCCUCAAAAGGCAACUGUGUGUGUGUUCAGUGGCCUUGUAAAUUGGCUACAUUUCUUUUCUAAAUUUAGAAAAAAUAUACAAUGAAAAAAUGUGGAUAAAAAUGUAUGCAUAAGAAAUAGUCUGAAAAGAAAUACCAAGGUAAUAUUCUUUUUCAUAACAAAAGUUUCCAAAAUUCAGCAAUAAAUGUGUGUGUAUAUAUAUAUAUGUUUUUUUACUUUUUCUUAUUUUAUGUGCUGUUUUUAAUAAAAACACUUCAGUUUGUCAGGCAGGAAUCAUCUGACCCCAUAGGUUACGUAUUUUUCAUUGUACUGUUCUAAAUCUUGAGGAGUAAAUAUUAAUAUUUUACAAGAAGAAAAUAGUCAUAAAUAUGAUAAAAUAAAAUUAAAUAUAUUAACAUUAGAUGGUGAAAGUUAUAAAAAUUUAAAGGUUUUUUUGUUUUUUUUGUCUUUUGUCUUUUUAGGGCCACACCUGCAGCAUAUGGAGAUUCCCAGGCUAGGGGUCUAAUCGGAGCUGUAGGCACAGCCACAGCAACACAAGAUCCAAGCCACGUGUCUGUGACCUACACCACAGCUCAUGGCAACACCGGAUCCUUAAUCCACUGAGCAAGGUCAGAGACAGAACCCUAAACCUCAUGGUUCCUAGUUGGAUUCGUUUUUGUUGUGCCACGAUGAGAACUUCAAAAUUCAAAGGUUUUGUUGGCAUGUGGAAUUAAAAUGAAAGUUUGAGGGAUAUAGGAGUUUCCUGGGGGCUCAAUGGGUUAAGGAUCUGGCAUUGUCACUGCUAUGACGGCGAAGUUUCAAUCACUGGCCCAGGAACUUCUGCAUGUCGAGGGCAUGGCCAAAAGAAGUUCUAGGGAUCUAUAUUAUUUCUUGGUAAGAUAUGAAUUAUGGAGGUGGAUAAUCUUAUUUCCUUUUAAAAAAAAAGUUAGCCCUUUUGAUAUUAUAGUAAGAGCUAAAUUCUAAGUAGAAUUCCUUUAAUAAUGUGGCUGUUAUCCAAGACUCUAACUUUUGAAGGCAACCAGGUUAGGAAGGUGUUAGUUUGAACUUUUAAUAACUUUGAUUUUAAUUUUUAGGAGGCUUGACACUUCUAAUCAGAGGCUUGUGCUUCUGAUUAACCUCCUUUAGUCUUGCUCUGACAACAGGUUUGACUGAAGUUGUGUUUCCACGUGAAACAUUCUUUAUUUUUUCUGCCAUAAGAGCCAAUUUUAUAACCAAUUUGCUCUACUCAGUUCCAUAAUACUACCCAUUCAUUCAAAUAGUUUUUGACCACCUGUAUUCCUGAGAAUAAAACGGUGCUCUUGUGUCUCGUCUAGACAGACAGUAACCACAUUGCGAUAAGUAUUAAGACCAAAGUAAAACAGGGUAGAGGGAUCUGUUGAAUGUGACAGAGGGGCUAGAGGGGUUACAGUAAAAUAGAGUAGUCAGGAAAGGCCCCCAAAGUGAUGACAGACCAGCUGGGACCAGAAUGAAGAGGAACCAUUCAAAGAUCUUGGGCUUAGGGGAGAAGGAGAUACAUUCUAGGCUGUAGGAAUAACUACUGCAAAGACCCCAAGUCAAGAAUGAGGCUGGAAUAUCCGAGGAACUAAAAGGCCAGCAUGGCUGCAGCACAAUGAGUAAAGCAAUAGUGGAAAUAGAUGACAUGACCCUCCAGUCUUGCAAACAUAUCCUGUUUACAUUGUUAGCAUCUCAAGAACCUGUCUCCUCCAUUUCAUCUUCACAGUCACUUUAAUUGUGGCCCUAAUAACCUGCAGCUUAUAUUUUUACAAAAGCAUUUAGUUGUUCACUGCCUGAAAUGUAAUUUCUACCUCGUUUUUGUUGUUGUUUGUUUGUUUGGUUUGGCGGGGGGGGGGGUAGAUCUCUUCUUCCUUUAAAACUCAAUCCAAUCAUUAUCUCCCUGACCCAUCCUUCCUGAGUUGGGUGCCCCCUUCGCAUACCUCUUUUCAACAUUUCCACACCAAGAACUCAAACUGUCAUUGUUUACCUACUUCCCAUUUGUAUGUGAGCUCCUCCAGAAUGCAGAAGAGUAUUUUACCUUUGCACUCAUAGGUCCUGGCUAGGUAUCCCCAAGAGUGUUUGUCAAAUACAUUUUAAAAACCACUAAACCUACUGUUAGCUGGUCACUGGCCUAGACUUACUCAGAAAUGCUGCAGGGGGGGGGGGGCAACAUUUCAAGUGCUUUCAGCUCAUGGCCAAAUUUGACAAACACUAUCUAAAGAAGUUUGAAAUGUAACUGUUGUGAUUUUCCGAUACUUCCCUGUAUAACCCUUUUAUCUCUAUUAGCAGACUGGAACCAUUCAGGCAUCACACUCUAAGUAGUGGACAGAGAAAGCUGAGUGUCCUAAUGAGAUCGGUACUCCUUGACUUAGCCUCUCAUUAUCAGGGGAAGGUGUGAGGAUGUCCUUGAGGCUCUCACUACAAGGCCCUACACCCCUCACACUGCGGAAUUUCAUCAGAAACCACAUAACUCUUCAGAUGGGCCUGUCUGGGUAGAGAGGCUGAUGCCAAGAACAACUCUGUGGUAAAAAGAGAGCUACUGCUUAGUUAAGAGACGUCUUCAUCAGGGUCCUAUGUGAAUGAACAGAGAAAUAGCCAGGUACCCUAAGAAUAAAUUGCUAUGGGAGUUCCCACUGUGGCUCAGUGGUAACGAACCCCUAGCCUGGGAACUUCCAUAUGCUGUGGGUGCGGUCCUAAAAAAAAAUACAAAAGAAUAAAUCACUAUAAUGAAGCGGAUAAGGAGAUUAAAAAAAGCACAGUGGGUGAGAGCCCAGGCUUUGGAAACAGACAUCUAUGUUUAAAUCCUUGUUCUACCACUUUUUAUUAUGAGGAGGGAACAAAUUUAAUUAUCUGAGCUUCUGUUUUCUCUUCAGUAAUAGCCACCUCCUAGUGUUAUUGUAAAGAUUAAAUGCCUAUUACAGUGCCCAGUACAAAGUACAUUCUCAGAAAGUGGUCAUUAUUUUACUGGUAUGAUGAUGAUGACAAUCCAGUGUUUUUCUAGUUCAGAUCCGUACCUUUGCUAAUUUUAGGAGGACUCUCUGGAACCAGGGGAGCCAUCUCCAGACCACGUUUCACUAGUGACUAACCCUAAUACUCCUUUGCUAAUACAGAUAAAAAGAUAAGAGUUUGCAGUAGAAACAAAGGAGCAUAAUAUAUUCAGACAAGUUCCUGUUCAUUAACUGAUAAUAUAAUUUAACAAUGAUAAUAUAGCUUUGGUAGAAUGGAUUUGUAUAUAUACAAUAUUUGCAUAAAGUAUAAGAUUUUAAUAAAAUUUUAUGUCAAAUGUUUCAUUAUAUUUUUUGUUAUGUUAAAUUGUUAGAGUAGUCAGACUUAAUACAUAUCCUUUUAAGAAUCAAAAACGUGGAACCUGAAAAUACUUCCUUUUGGAUAACUCCUCCAAAUAUCUACAUAGUAUACAACAGUGCUGCUCAGAGUGGGUCCGUGACUGCUAGGGGUUCCCAGGACCCUUUCCAAAAAAAUCACUAAGGGCAAAACCAUUUUUAUUGUGAUAUUAAGACAUCACAUGCCUUUUUACUAUGUUGAUAAUUGCGCUGAUGGCACAAAAGUAACAAUAGAUGAAUUAGACUCCUAGCAUCUCAGCAAAUGAUCAAAGCAGUGGCACCAAACUGUACUAGUUAUUACAUUCUUUAUCGCCACAUGUUAAAGAGGAUUUUUCUCUUACUUUAAAAUGUUCUUGGGAGUUCCCAUCGUGGCUCACUGGUUAACGAACCUGAGCAGUAACCAUGAGGUUGCUGGUUCGAUACCUGGCCUUGCUCAGUGGGUUGAGGAUCUGGCGUUGCCAUUGGCUGUGGUGUAGGUUACUGUUGUGGCCUGGAUAUGAUCCGAUCCCUGGCCUGGGCACUUCUACAUGCCAUGGGUGUGGCAAAAAAAAAAAAAAAAAAA
rnacentral:lncRNA from 1 species